CGGGGUGAGUAACACGUGGAUAACCUGCCUCACACAGGGGGAUAACAGUUAGAAAUGACUGCUAAUACCGCAUAAGCGCACGGUACCGCAUGGUACAGUGCGAAAAACUCCGGUGGUGUGAGAUGGAUCCGCGUCUGAUUAGGUAGUUGGUGAGGUAACGGCCCACCAAGCCGACGAUCAGUAGCCGACCUGAGAGGGUGAUCGGCCACAUUGGGACUGAGACACGGCCCAA
rnacentral:rRNA from 1 species